rnacentral:rRNA from 1 species
UUGAAAGGGAAACGAUUGAAGUCAGUCGUACCGACGAGAAAUCAGCUUUUCGAAUGUGCAUUUGUGGGCGUAUGAGAUCUUCAUUGUUUGCAAUAUGUAUGUUUCUUUGGUGUACUUUUUCGUAUGGUAGGUCAACGUCGGUUUUGGACGCCAUAAAAUGAUCGGAGGAAUGUAGCUUCGACCUCGGUUGAAGUGUUAUAGCCUUUGGUAAAUGUGGUGAUUAAGACCGAGGAUUGCAACGAAUACCUUUUAGGCUAUCCGUCUGACUUCUGAAAGUUACUUAGGUGCCGAAAGCUUGCUUACGGUCAUUUAAGUUGACGGUCAAUAGGUUAGAACGUGAUUACAUUCGUUAAGGAUGUUGACGUA